UACGGAGGAUGCGAGCGUUAUCCGGAUUUAUUGGGUUUAAAGGGUGCGUAGGCGGGAUGCCAAGUCAGCGGUAAAAAUGCGGUGCUCAACGCCGUCGAGCCGUUGAAACUGGCGUUCUUGAGUGGGCGAGAAGUAUGCGGAAUGCGUGGUGUAGCGGUGAAAUGCAUAGAUAUCACGCAGAACUCCGAUUGCGAAGGCGGCAUACCGGCGCCCUACUGACGCUGAGGCACGAGAGCGUGGGUAUCGAACAGG
rnacentral:rRNA from 1 species